rnacentral:sRNA from 7 species
CGGUAUGCAGCGUGGGGAAGGACGAGAACCUUCGACAAGGUUCGAGCCGAGCGUAGCGAGACAACGUUGCCUUACAGGCAACGGCCCGAAGGGUGAGGCGGCCUGGGCGCCGAAUCAUCCUUCUCCCACCACCA